GACCGUAUGAAAGAGUGAGGUUAUACCGAGACGACUGUAAAUGCCAAAAAGGAUACAAAUCAGCCUAAUAAUUUAAAUCAACAAAAUCUGUGGAGUGACACGAUAUUAUAGAAAAUGUGGUUUCCAACACGUCAACUCAUGCAGAGUUUCACUCCGAUCUUAACAACAAUAGCUACAAAAUUACCGACCUAUUCUUCGGCAAACAUUCAACGAUCAUUUCACUGUAUCAUGAGAUCAGUCAAU